rnacentral:pre_miRNA from 1 species
CGUGCACCAGUGGGGUCCCUCGGCCUGGUCUGAGGGAUCGAGCCGAAACAGGCCCUCCAACAUCCCCAGCGAAGUCCCAGAUUGCCUGAGGGCACAGGCCAGGCCGAGGGACCCCACUGGUGCAUG